rnacentral:lncRNA from 1 species
CGAGCCCUCGGAACAGGGGAGGCUCAGUUCCCUCCCAAGCCACCGACCUCCUCCUCCAGCCCCGUCCACNNNNNNNNNNGGGGGGGACGACAUUUCUCAAAGUAAACUCAGUGUUCUUGGGGUUUACCCAAAAUACGAGCCCGGCAGGACAGACAGACGCUGGAAAGGCGAGCGAGAGGGAGAGCAGGAAAAGCCACAAGCCCCGUUGCUCCAUCCAAGUCACGAGCCCGGUUUUCACUUGGGCAAAGGGGACAAAACUCCAGCAGCAUCACUUGUCCACAUCAGACAAAUGGGGAAACUGAGGCACGGGGAGGUGGUGGACACCAGAGCAUCUGCUCUAGACCCAGGGCCAACAGGUCACCCCUCGGCAGGUCUCAGCCACGCUCAUCACCAGGGGAUCUCCUGCCAGAGAGAUGGAUUGAGCUCACCCUGACUCCCCCAGCCAGCCCAGGAGGGCUCUCCUACAGCAAACAGCUUCGACUCCAUCCCCGGCGUGACAGCAAUAAUAAUAUUAACCCAUUAAUUAGACACUGCAGUGCUUCCCUGCGACCUAUUCAGAGCUCACCCAAAGCUCGGCGCACGCCCCGGGUGCCCUCCGUGCCCCCCCCCUCUGUCGCGGCACUUUCUGUCCAACCGGUUCUGCUCUUUAUUUUUGUUUCAGGGAGGACUUUAUCUCCCCGGCCAUCUCCAGCUGAGGGCCAGCAGAAAACCCACCUGCCACCCAGGGCAAGCUGUGGCCCAAGGCGGGUUGUCCCAGGUCCCACGUGGGAUCAACCGAGAAAUAAAAUCAGUUUUUUGCAAACAGAGGGCAUUUCCCAGCUGCAGGGGCUUUUUUAAGGCCAAGAUAACAAUGGCCUGAGCUGCUUUUUUUUAUCUGAAGCCUCGGGAAUGGAUGAUCUGGGAAGGAGGAGUUCCUGCACUGGACGGAGGGGACAGCUCUGCCGUCUCUAAACAUCUGGUUUGCAACCCCCAGGAGCCUGUUUUGGCCAAGAGCCUGGUUGGGGGGGAGCACAGCGGGGGCUUAAAGAUGCUGCAGCUGCUGGGGAGAGUCUAGACAGGCUUCAUGCACCCGGUGCCACCCCGGGCAUCCCCAGUCACCACCCAUGGCAAAUCUGGAGCCCAAGAUGCCAUCACAGUUAGUCCCUAGCCCAGGUUACCUGGCCCAAGAGGCAGGCUUGGCUUUUCUUGCCCCCAUUCGUGUGCAGAAGGGUGAUGGCAGUAACACAGUUCCCCCCACAUCUCCCCCCAGGAUGUGCUGGGAUAAAGCAGGUAGAGAGAGCCCCAUCCCUGCACAGAGACCCCCAAGAGCUCAGGCCAGGAGCCUGCAGUGGGCUACCAUGGACCAGCUGAUGCAACGAGACCUGUUGACAUGCCCAGGCUGUCUCACCAAGUCAAAGCCUUCCCUCCACCAGUGCUGGAGCAAAAGGACCCCCAUGCCCUGAGCUGGGGAUGUUCAGCACAAUUUGUCCCCUUCAGACACUGGAAGACGCCGGUCACCACUUGAAAUCAAGAAGAAACUCCACCCCACGAGGCAGAAGGACACCCAAAAGCCAAAUCACCCCAGGACCCCACACCGUCCCAUGUCCCUCAGGCUUAUGGAUUGCUCCAUCCUGGCCUGGGGACAGAGCGGAGACGGAUCUGCAGAUCCAGGCACUUUCCCUCCUCACCUCAGGGAACACGCAUGAAUUUUUAAAAUUUCCUGCCAAGUAUCCAUUGUGCAGAUGUGGAGUUCUUGGCAGGGACCUCCAACGGGCUCCCUGAGGUACGAAGGGGAACUCUCCCGAGCGCAGGCUCUGGCUGACCACCUUCCUGAAGCCCUGGACCCCACACUCUGGGC